UAAAAAAAAAAAAAGUAUUGUAGGCCUACGGGAGUGUCAUCCGUUUAUAUUGUUUGUUGAUUUGAUGUCACCAUAUGACAUAAUUGAAAAACAAAAUCCAAUGUAAAAGCACAACAUGCCAAUAGGUCACUAGGUACUAAUUUCUCAUUGGCUUUGGCAAAACCAUGAAAUUGAAUUCCCCCCCAAAAAAAAAAUUGGUACCCACGAAAUAAUAAAUGAAUCCCCAGUAUACCCAAAAC
rnacentral:lncRNA from 1 species